UGCAGCUGGACAUUCAGACUGGAGAUCUCAAGAUCACAAACUUCAGAAUCACAGACUCCGGACUUUAUAAGUUUGAGAUCAACAGCCCCAGACAGUUCUCAGAGAAGACAUUCAGUGUCAGUGGAAAUUUUUGGUACCUCGUAUCAAGAUGAACACAUGCUGUAAGAUACUGUUUGUUUUUUCUUUUCCCCCCCUAGGUUUUAUCAAAGAUAAGGAGGAAGACCUCCAGAAGGGAGCCGAUGACCUGCCUUUGAUGAAUGAUUUAGUGAUUAAAUAGUUCAAACCCACUGAAACAGAGAACAGCAGUAGUUUAUAGUCACUAUAACAAUAUACACGUGAAGAGUGUUUGAGGGCCAGUUUGACUGAUUUACAGUAAUGCAGGACGUUACACUAAAAUGGCUUGAUUGUUACACCUGAAAUUUUUUUGCAGGACUGAACUCAGGUUAAUUAAUGUAUGUAUGAUUUUAUUCUUGUUUGUUUUUAUUUGAUACUCUUGCACUGUUACAUUGCACGUAUUUGUGCUUUAAGUUUUCAUGCUUCAAUAUUUUGUAGAUGAUUUUUGUUUAAAAAACAAAACAAAGCAUAAUAUAAUAUUUUCAAUAUUGUCUGUCCCCUGAUAAGAUGUGAGUGUGAUAUCCGAACUGUGGUCUGAAAUCAAAGUGUUUUUUGAAGACUGCAGUGCUCAGAUAAUCUGAGUUUCAGAUGAUCUUACUGUAUAAACAUUUAAUUCCUUCAGGUUACACAUCCCAUGUUUUCAUGAGUUGUACUGAACAGAUCAAAUAUUUUAGUGAUCAAAUAUAAAUAUCAGUCUAAAGCUUUAGACUAGGAAGCCUAAAAGCAGGAUUUAUGUAAAUGUAAUAACAGUAAUACAGUAUAAAACACAGAUGUGGUCAAUUGCAUUUUGAAAGAAACGGUUUGUGAAUAACUGUAAAUGUCACUGAAACGACACAGAAACACUUGCCGUCAUUGGUCCAGUGUUUGUAUCUGCAUCAUCCAAUGAUGCUUUAAAAACUGGCACACAAGUAAAAUAGUCCCUGAUGCUGAAUUGUAAAAGGGGGGAUUUUCAAAUCUGGAAAAUUCUAAAAUGGAGUCACAUUAGAAUUUAAUUGAAAUUAAAUUACGUUGCACUUUAAAAAGACCAAACAAUAAAACUACAGCCAGCAUUGGAUACCUUUGUUGGCCCAAUUGGGUGGACCUUACAGUGUUCAGAGCUUGGUUUCUGGGUCCUGACACUUCUGUCUAGAUUAGUUACAGUGCCAUGAUCCAAACAUCCAGUCUUUGUGACUUUUGGCUGUCUUGACCCACUUGCUCUUCCUUGUUACCCUCCUUAUUGAUAGUGGCUGGACUUUCUAAGAACUUAGUAAGAAAGAAUAAUCAAAUACAGAAAGUUCAAAAAUAAUUUUUAUUUCUAGAAACUAUUCACAUCUUCCUUUAAAUGUACUGUAUGUAAAGUAUUGUAAACUAACCUACAUAAUUUACAGGAUGUAUAUAGACUACUUUAAAAUAACUAUUUGGCCAUGAUACAUAGGCUACAUCUUCAAAUAAUAUAUCCAUCACAUUGAAUGUUUAACUUACUUUUGUAUUUUGGCCCAGUUCACUCUCACGUCUCAACAUUAGCUGUAAAAAUAGUUGCCUGCUGAAAUUGAAAUAUAUGUAGGCCUACAUCUUCAUGACUAGAUAGACACAGGUGAGUUUCUCUUUACUACUCGUUAGGUUUCUGUAACGUUAUAUGCGAUUCGAGUCACUCAACCGGAGGUAAUCCUGUCAGAUCGUCCAUCCAUGAGCAUAGAGCGUUUUAUUUUUUAUUUUUUUUUGUAGAUAUGACCGCUUUACGAUUAAAAAAAGAUUUAAUUUAGAUUUUUAUUCACAUAUAAGCACAUCCAUUUUGUAUAUUAAUUUUAUUAAAUUUUUAUGACUUUUGGGGGUAUCUAAGUUUUGGUUACAUGGACUGUCACUGGAGAGAAAGAAAGCUUUCAGGUGUCAUAAAAAAAAAUAAUCUUAAUUUGCAUUUUAAAGAUAACCAAAAUCUGAUGGAUUUGAAAUACAGGAAAGUGAGUAAACGAUGACGAUUUUCAUUUUCGGGUGAACUAUUCCUUCAAAAUGAAGAUAGGAAAACCUCAUAUACACUUCAAAGUCCUUGGAUGCCUUGAGUAUACUGUCACUUCCCUGACAAUUAAGCUAAAGAUGAUGGUUUUCCAUUUAAUUGAUGUUAAAAAGCACCAAAUAUCAGGAGAAUUGUUUUGGCCAAUUAAUAAAAUGUAUUGAAUUCUAUGAGUUUACAAUGCUGACCUUGCAUUCUAAUGUAUAUUUCCAAUCAAUUUGACCAAAUGUGAGAGACUUUUUUUAUUUUUUUAAUUAAUGCAGGUUCAUCUGAAGUGUUUUUUCAAUGGCACAUUGAUGUUACAUUUCUGUUGUAAAUUCUAUGUAAUGUCUAUGCAGUUCUAAAAGUGGAAAUUAUGUAAAUAAGUGUUAAAGAUUACAGUGUGAUGUACUAAACUCUUUUUUUUUUUAAUGUUUGACUCUCAAGAGUGUAAAAAGCUUCAUUUUUUUUUCCAAACGGUGAUUCAGUGACAUUUAACAUAGUAUCCCAUUCUGAAGGUGAAGAAAUUGCUUAAUAUUUACAAUUUAGAUUUGUAUUUAUGAGGAUAUUUUGUUAAAAAUUAUGUACAAAUGUAAGUUAAUCCAAAUAGAUUUAGUGAUAAUUUGUGGUAUACUUAAUGCAAAUAGUGGCAGAUAUCUGCACCUCAGUAUCAAGGGCGUAAAUUUC